AUGAAAGACUGCAGUUUCUGUCUUGGUGCUCUCUCUUGGCUUACUCAUUCUGGGGCAACUAGUUCACAAGCCACCCAGUGGAGAGGUCCACGGGGCAAAAGCUGUGCGAAUGAGCUGGGAAUGGACCCUCCAGCGCCACUCAAGUCUCCAGACGACUCCGGCCUUAUGCGCCAACUCGAGCCAAGCCACCUAACCAAGCUGCUCCCAGAGUCCUGACCCUUAGAAACUGGAAAGAAGAAAAGAAAAACCUUGCAGAUAAGUUUAUAAUCAACUCCUGGCCCAGACCUUGGCUUUGCAAGAGAGCAAGACCUCUGCUGUGAAGGCUGUUCGAUGACCAACCAAAUGGCCCGAAGACACUCACUAGCCACAGGGGUUUGCACUCCCUACCACCCGUUGUGGACAUCCCCAGCAUGUGCCCCGCAGGGCUCAUUCUGCAGUGUAUCAUCUAAAGAGUAAAACUAAAGAGCCACAAACAGGCCCUGAGUUCCCGCUGGCUCCCACUCUCCGGAAGUCCCGUUUUCUAAAUGAAGUGGAGAGACAGGAUGGCCACUAGCUUUCAGCCCUGGUGCCUGAAGGAGAUACUGGGAAGAGGAGGUUUCCACAUCAUGGAGAGGUCACUGAUGUGCAAAUCCCGAAGACAGCCCGAAGCCAGGGCUCUUCACUCGGCCGCUGCACCUCAUCUCCCACCUUCCUGGUGCCCCCGAUAUGGUAAAACGACCAGGGGCACUCGCUGCCCUCCAAGUCCUCCCAGCCUCCUACCCUCUGGCUGCUUUCCUCACCACGCUACUGCAACAUGGCGGCCACCAUGACCUUCUGUCGCCAAAUUCAACAGCCUACUCUCCGUGGAACAUGAAGAGUUCAAGAGUCCCUGGGUUUUAUCGCUCACUAGAUGAUUUGGGAAAGCGAUAAUCUCUCUAAGCCUCAAAUUCCUUACUUAAAAAAGCAAUGCUUGCCUCCUAACAGCAUUGUUUUAAGGUCCCAGAGAGAAACACCCUAAAAAUCAUAGCCAGACAACUGCAGUAAAACGACCACUGGGCGAAGGCCCGACGCUCAAACCAACAGAUGUUAUUACUCCCCUGCGCCCUUCCCCUCCACAAUACGGCUCUGCCCUAGUUAUGCCUUUCUGCUGGCCUUUUUCCUUUGGUUUCUCUCACGGGGUCCUUGCUCUCCUCCCCUGGCCCUCUGAACAUCCCCCCCCCAAGCUCUGGACUCAGUCCCCUUUCCUGCUCCUCGGCCCAUGCCCUCCGUGAGCCUUGCUACUCCCAUGGCUAUCCCCCUACCUCCACACAAAUCUCGUCCAGCCUCACAUUCCACCCACACCCAUCAUUCCAGUGACUCCAUUCACUCACCAAUAUGCCCUCUUGGUAACUUAAUCAUCUGGGCCAAGACCAAACGCAUCAUCUUCCCUCUACCAAUGAGGAGCCCCCUUGCUCUUCCUGUCCUCCCUUCUGGUUCAGAGCCCCAGGGCCAUCUUCAGCAAACCUCAUCCCCCCAACACAGGCCCCCAGUCUGUUUACAUCCCAAGGUCUCUGGCGUCUGUCCCUCACUCCAUUUCCACCACUGGUAGUGGCCCAGGGCCUUAGCACCUUUUGACCAGACUGUGUCAACUUCUUCCCACAGCUGAUCUCCCUGCCUUCAUGCCUCACGCAGCUUCCAGAAUGCUUUGAUGCUUGGUGUCUGCUCUCUGUUCAACACCUCAGAGGUCCUCCCUGCCUACUGCUCAAGUCCUCACCCUGCCUUUCAAAGACCCUCAACAUCCCUCCAAGCUUCUCUUCCCUUCAUGCAACACAUGCUCUGACAGAGGACUUACCUUGGGGAUGGGUGGGGACUCUCUGUAUGUUUUAGUUCCUGGGCAUGGGCCCACCCCACGCCCACUGCUAGGAUCCUCCCCAAACCCAAAGCUACCUCCUGCACUGAGUCUUCUCCAACUGGAAACAAACUGCCCUUUUCUGAAUGAGUAGAGAUUUUUUAUGUCUACGAAAUGGCGAGUCUACCAAACAUAAUAGUUCUUUCAUCUCAGGAAACACUGACCGUACCUAUCUUCUGCCAGAAGUGUGUCAGGUGCUGGGGAUCGGGGCCUGAGAUAUGGUCUCUACUCUUGGGGAGGUCACGGUCCAGACGGGAGCUAGAACACACUGUGCUGAAAUCCAAGUCCAGGGACAACCACUGUUGUACUCUAAGUGUGAACAACAUGCUUUGGGCACAAGAGGUUGGGAAGGACUGCAAAUUUAUCUUACUAAGUGAAGAGGAAAAGCUUCAUACCAAAUGCAGUGACCAGACCUUGUUUGGGCUUUGAUUUGAACACACCAAUUAUAUAUAAAAAGACAUUUUGAGAUGGUCAGGGAAAAGUGAACAUGCUUGGAAUAUUAGGUGUUAUCAGGAAUUACUGUUAACGCUUAGCUUAAUAAUGAUAUUACGGUUACAUUUGGUUUUUUUUAAGUGCUUGUCUGUUAGAAAUACAGACUGAAACAUUUUCAGAUGAAAUGACA